UUAAAUUGAAGAGUUUGAUCAUGGCUCAGAUUGAACGCUGGCGGCAGGCCUAACACAUGCAAGUCGAACGGUAGCACAGAGAGCUUGCUCUUGGGUGACGAGUGGCGGACGGGUGAGUAAUGUCUGGGAAACUGCCUGAUGGAGGGGGAUAACUACUGGAAACGGUGGCUAAUACCGCAUAACGUCGCAAGACCAAAGAGGGGGACCUUCGGGCCUCUUGCCAUCAGAUGUGCCCAGAUGGGAUUAGCUUGUUGGUGAGGUAACGGCUCACCAAGGCGACGAUCCCUAGCUGGUCUGAGAGGAUGACCAGCCACACUGGAACUGAGACACGGUCCAGACUCCUACGGGAGGCAGCAGUGGGGAAUAUUGCACAAUGGGCGCAAGCCUGAUGCAGCCAUGCCGCGUGUAU
rnacentral:rRNA from 1 species